ACAACAAAAGCAUGGGAGCUUGCAGAUGCUUUAUGUGGGUGAUCUUGACAUACACCUCUGUUCCAAACACAGCUCAACGGAGGACAGGAAUAUGAUCACUGGGUGCCCAGCUAAAGCAGCUUUCCCUGGGUGAACUGUCAAGGAAAGCGUGGCCCACAGCGCUGCUCUCCUCUGGAUGACUCCUCUGCACACACCUCAGUGGAGAACAGCCAUCCCUGUGAGUUCCACGUUUUGGAGGGAACAAGGAGUAAGAAGCUGCAGAAGACAAGGAGACGGGAUCAAUGUUCACUUUUCAUAGAGAGAGAAAAAAAUAAAGCAA